UUUCACUUGAUUAGUUCCUUCAUGAGUUAUUUCAAGCAAUCUCCAAAUUUCCUUAGCAGAUUUACAUUGGCAUAUUCUAUUAUAUUCAUUCCUAUCCAUAGCACAUUGCAAAGUAAAAACGACUUUAGCAUUUAAUUGAAAAUUUCUUCUAUCAAGCUCAUUCCAUUCUUGCUUGAGUUUUGGAACCAAAACUCCAUCAACUAAUUUAGUGGGAAAAGUUGGGCCAUCUUCAAUGACAUCCCAUACAUCUAAAUCAGUUGAUUGUAAGUACCAAGUCAUUCUAACUUUCCAAUAGGGAUAGUCGGUUCCCGUAAAGAAUGGAGCUCUAUGUUUUGAACAAUUUUCAGUUUGAGAUGAGCUUGAUGGAACAACCAUUUUCCUCUUAGAUGAUUAAGUCUUAAGCAAGAGGUCUAGCUCUGAUACCAAUUGAUAAAACAAAGGC